ACCCGAUUAUUGUUAAUUGUAUGAUGAUUGUCUACCAGUAUUCAGUCAGCAGAGUAUAACUUUCAACAUUUAGAAAGCAGAGGUCAGUUUUCCACUUGGAGUAAUUCAAUAGCAUGACAAUGUGGACACAGCUCCUGGUUUUGGUAAAAGAAGUACUCGAAAUAUCCGACGAAAAGCAAUUUCUUGGAUUAUACACGCAAGGUAGUGCAUGGACAUAGUGGAAUUCAAGCCUUGGUGGACCUUUCUUCUGUAUUUAUCCAGUCUUGUUGAUGGUAGACAGUUGUUCUACACCUCGUACACAACAGAGAAAACCCCUCGGACGAAGAAUUCGUUCAGAUUCACAAGUAAAAAGCAUCUGCAGAAGAAAGAAUCAAUUAUGGUAGAUCAACGACAGUCCUGGCACGAGCAAACAUGGCAUCACCACAGCCCUGACACAAGCUUUGUUGAGAUUAGAUAUAAACUAACAUGUAUAUAAUUAUACCUUCAUGUACAAAGUACACGGGAUUAUAUUGGAGUCACACAUGUCAGCGGGUCCGUUCGUCCGUUCGCCUAUCUGUCCAUCAUGUCCGCUGGGAAGAUUAAAAAAAUGGCUUCAUUUAUUAGCCUCAACAAGAAUGUUCGUUGUGCACAACCCAAGUUACUAGGCCCAAGGUCAGUAUUACUCUUGGGAGGACAAAGUUCAAAUAACUUUAAUUUAGUGUCCGCUCCAUAUUGUCUUAACUGCAGUGAAUAUUUAGGUCAAGCAUUCGUUAUUGUACUUGUCCUGCCUUCAGGGUCACUGUCACCGUUGCAUUCAGGUUAAACUUUUAUAUGAUUCUCAAAGUCACUAUAUUUUCUUAACUACUGCCCAUAUUAGCAUCGAACCACAUAAGUGUUGAUUGUGGUAAAACGCAGACAUUUAUUUGUUAGGGGUCAGCAUCCUGAAGGUCAAAGUUACUGGGGUCAUAUUUUGUAGUUGUGCUGGUUAAGUCUUAGAUUGUUUCUUAUAUCUUCUUAUUCACCCGCCCCUACCCCCUACCCUACCCCAAAAGGAAAAAGAGUCUUAUUGUUUCAUCACUCACGCUUACUUAUAUCCUAUAACAAUAAAUAGUGGUCAACAUUUCCGAAUAGUCACGUGGGCUUUCCUUACAACAGUUCUUGAUAUAAAAUUAGGAUUAGUAAAUAGAUGUAAGCACUCACAACCUAGUUCAUUCGGUUAAAGGUCAAGUUCUGACUUAAAAGAAAUAUUGUCGAAUCUAAUAAAAUAAGCACUAACUGUCAAUUCCAUCUAGCCACUAGGUUAAAGGUCAGUGUGACACAUAUGAGGUCAAAGGUAAAAUAGCUUUGUGUCUGCUACAUAUCUUGUAACCCCAUUUUCCAUACACUCAUAAAACUAGCAAUAAAUAUAAAAAAGACCUGUAUAAACCCAGAUUAUUAGAUCCAAGGUCAAGGUUACACUUGAAUGUCAAAAUGAUGACAAAAUUGACUUACCCUGCACCAAAGCAGCAUCUGGGGGUAACAAUAGCACUAGUUUAUCAUUUUUAGCGGACUGAAUUUGUAAUUGUAUUCAACCAUUUGACAAAUAUUUCCUAUAUUUUAGGAUAAAUAUUUAAAACAAAAAUCAGGAAAUUGUUUGUUUUUUAGCUCGACUAUUCGAAGAAUAAGUAGAACUAUCCUACUCACCACGGCGUCGGCGCCGACAUCACACCUUGGUUAA
rnacentral:lncRNA from 1 species